UACGGGGGGGGCAAGCGUUGUUCGGAAUUACUGGGCGUAAAGGGCUUGUAGGUGGCCAACUAAGUCAGACGUGAAAUCCCUCGGCUUAACCGGGGAACUGCGUCUGAUACUGGAUGGCUUGAGUUUGGGAGAGGGAUGCGGAAUUCCAGGUGUAGCGGUGAAAUGCGUAGAUAUCUGGAGGAACACCGGUGGCGAAGGCGGCGACCUGGGUCGAUACUGACGCUGAUGCGCGAAAGCGUGGGGAGCAAACAGG
rnacentral:rRNA from 1 species